UGAAUAAAUUUUAUAAAAAUACUAGUCUGUA
rnacentral:tRNA from 1 species